AUUGAACGCUGGCGGCAGGCCUAACACAUGCAAGUCGAGCGGUAGCACAGAGAGCUUGCUCUCGGGUGACGAGCGGCGGACGGGUGAGUAAUGUCUGGGAAACUGCCUGAUGGAGGGGGAUAACUACUGGAAACGGUAGCUAAUACCGCAUAACGUCGCAAGACCAAAGAGGGGGACCUUCGGGCCUCUUGCCAUCAGAUGUGCCCAGGUGGGAUUAGCUAGUAGGUGGGGUAACGGCUCACCUAGGCGACGAGCCCUAGCUGGUCUGAGAGGAGGAGCGGCCACACUGGAACUGAGACACGGUCCAGACUCCUACGGGAGGCAGCAGUGGGGAAUAUUGCACAAUGGGCGCAAGCCUGAUGCAGCCAUGCCGCGUGUAUGAAGAAGGCCUUCGGGUUGUAAAGUACUUUCAGCGGGGAGGAAGGUGCUGAGGUUAAUAACCUCAGCAAUUGACGUUACCCGCAGAAGAAGCACCGGCUAACUCCGUGCCAGCCGCCGCAGUAAGAC
rnacentral:rRNA from 1 species